rnacentral:rRNA from 1 species
CCUACGGGAGGCAGCAGUGAGGAAUAUUGGUCAAUGGACGAGAGUCUGAACCAGCCAAGUAGCGUGAAGGAUGACUGCCCUAUGGGUUGUAAACUUCUUUUAUAUGGGAAUAAAAUGUUCCACGUGUGGGAUUUUGUAUGUACCAUAUGAAUAAGGAUCGGCUAACUCCGUGCCAGCAGCCGCGGUAAUACGGAGGAUCCGAGCGUUAUCCGGAUUUAUUGGGUUUAAAGGGAGCGUAGGUGGAUUGUUAAGUCAGUUGUGAAAGUUUGCGGCUCAACCGUAAAAUUGCAGUUGAAACUGGCAGUCUUGAGUACAGUAGAGGUGGGCGGAAUGCGUUGUGUAGCGGUGAAAUGCUUAGAUAUCACGAAGAACUCCGAUUGCGAAGGCAGUUCACUGGACUGCAACUGACACUGAGGCUCGAAAGUGUGGGUAUCAAACAGGAUUAGAUACCCGAGUAGUC